ACGCCGCGACGGGCUGUCGAGAGCCGCGUCUGCGGCGCUGUGAGACGGCCUGACGGCGU
rnacentral:sRNA from 24 species